AUUGAACGCUGGCGGCAUGCUUUACACAUGCAAGUCGAACGGUAACAGGCCUUCGGGUGCUGACGAGUGGCGAACGGGUGAGUAAUGCAUCGGAACGUACCCAGAGGUGGGGGAUAACGCAGCGAAAGCUGUGCUAAUACCGCAUGUGAUCUGAGGAUGAAAGCGGGGGACCGAGCAGCAAUGUUUGGCCUCGCGCCUUUGGAGCGGCCGAUGUCGGAUUAGCUAGUUGGUGGGGUAAAGGCCUACCAAGGCGACGAUCCGUAGCUGGUCUGAGAGGACGACCAGCCACACUGGGAGUGAGACACGGCCCAGACUCCUACGGGAGGCAGCAGUGGGGAAUUUUGGACAAUGGGCGCAAGCCUGAUCCAGCAAUGCCGCGUGCGGGAAGAAGGCCUUCGGGUUGUAAAACGCUUUUGGCAGGAACGAAACGGUGUCCGCUAAUACCGGGCGCUAAUGACGGUACCUGCAGAAUAAGCACCGGCUAACUACGUG
rnacentral:rRNA from 1 species